GUGCCAGCAGCCGCGGUAAUACGUAGGUGGCAAGCGUUGUCCGGAUUUACUGGGCGUAAAGGGAGCGUAGGUGGAUAUUUAAGUGGGAUGUGAAAUACCUGAGCUUAACUUGGGUGCUGCAUUCCAAACUGGAUAUCUAGAGUGCAGGAGAGGAAAGUGGAAUUCCUAGUGUAGCGGUGAAAUGCGUAGAGAUUAGGAAGAACCCCAGUGGCGAAGGCGACUUUCUGGACUGUAACUGACACUGAGGCUCGAAAGCGUGGGGAGCAAACAGGAUUAGAAACCCCAGUAGUCC
rnacentral:rRNA from 1 species